UACGGGGGGGCAGCGUUGUUCGGAAUUACUGGGCGUAAAGGGCUCGUAGGCGGCCAACUAGUCAGACGUGGAAAUCCCUCGGCUUAACCGGGGAACUGCGUUACUGAUACUGGAUGGCGUUGAGUUUGGGAGGAGGAUGCGGAAUUCCGAGGUGUAGCUGGUAGGAAUGCGUAGAUAUCUGGAGGAACACCGGUGGCGAAGGCGGCAUCCGUCGGACCGAGGAUUGACGCUGACUGCGCGAAAGCCAGGGGAGCAAAC
rnacentral:rRNA from 1 species